UUUGGAUCACACUAGACUUUAUUUCAUAUUGUACAGCUGCUACUUCAGGUAAUCGAAUGCAAGAUGGAGAAGUGUAAAUGGUGGGAGUAAAGUAUUCCCUCAGGAGUUUGGGUUGUUCUUCAGCCAUCUCAGGAGGUGGAGCAGAUCCUAUGGUUCUAUAGGUACGGAUUUCGGCUCGAAGGAUCCUAAUAGAACGCUCUAUUUCAG
rnacentral:lncRNA from 1 species